GGGGUUGUGUCUCAGUGGUAGAGCGCUCACCUAGAAUGUGCAAGACACUGGGUUCAAUCCUCAGUACCUCA
rnacentral:tRNA from 1 species